UUGAUGGAGAGUUUGAUUCUGGCUCAGAACGAACGCUGGCGGCGUGGAUAAGACAUGCAAGUCGAACGAGAGAAUUGCUAGCUUGCUAAUAAUUCUCUAGUGGCGCACGGGUGAGUAACACGUGAGUAACCUGCCCCCGAGAGCGGGAUAGCCCUGGGAAACUGGGAUUAAUACCGCAUAGUAUCGAAAGAUUAAAGCAGCAAUGCGCUUGGGGAUGGGCUCGCGGCCUAUUAGUUAGUUGGUGAGGUAACGGCUCACCAAGGCGAUGACGGGUAGCCGGUCUGAGAGGAUGUCCGGCCACACUGGAACUGAGACACGGUCCAGACACCUACGGGUGGCAGCAGUCGAGAAUCAUUCACAAUGGGGGAAACCCUGAUGGUGCGACGCCGCGUGGGGGAAUGAAGGUCUUCGGAUUGUAAACCCCUGUCAUGUGGGAGCAAAUUAAAAAGAUAGUACCACAAGAGGAAGAGACGGCUAACUCUGUGCCAGCAGCCGCGGUAAUACAGAGGUCUCAAGCGUUGUUCGGAAUCACUGGGCGUAAAGCGUGCGUAGGCUGUUUCGUAAGUCGUGUGUGAAAGGCGCGGGCUCAACCCGCGGACGGCACAUGAUACUGCGAGACUAGAGUAAUGGAGGGGGAACCGGAAUUCUCGGUGUAGCAGUGAAAUGCGUAGAUAUCGAGAGGAACACUCGUGGCGAAGGCGGGUUCCUGGACAUUAACUGACGCUGAGGCACGAAGGCCAGGGGAGCGAAAGGGAUUAGAUACCCCUGUAGUCCUGGCAGUAAACGGUGCACGCUUGGUGUGCGGGGAAUCGACCCCCUGCGUGCCGGAGCUAACGCGUUAAGCGUGCCGCCUGGGGAGUACGGUCGCAAGAUUAAAACUCAAAGAAAUUGACGGGGACCCGCACAAGCGGUGGAGUAUGUGGCUUAAUUCGAUGCAACGCGAAGAACCUUACCUGGGCUUGACAUGUAAUGAACAACAUGUGAAAGCAUGCGACUCUUCGGAGGCGUUACACAGGUGCUGCAUGGCCGUCGUCAGCUCGUGUCGUGAGAUGUUUGGUUAAGUCCAGCAACGAGCGCAACCCCUGUUGCCAGUUACCAGCACGUGAAGGUGGGGACUCUGGCGAGACUGCCCAGAUCAACUGGGAGGAAGGUGGGGACGACGUCAGGUCAGUAUGGCCCUUAUGCCCAGGGCUGCACACGUACUACAAUGCCCAGUACAGAGGGGGCCGAAGCCGCGAGGCGGAGGAAAUCCUGAAAACUGGGCCCAGUUCGGACUGUAGGCUGCAACCCGCCUACACGAAGCCGGAAUCGCUAGUAAUGGCGCAUCAGCUACGGCGCCGUGAAUACGUUCCCGGGUCUUGUACACACCGCCCGUCACAUCAUGGAAGCCGGUCGCACCCGAAGUAUCUGAAGCCAACCGCAAGGAGGCAGGGUCCUAAGGUGAGACUGGUAACUGGGAUGAAGUCGUAACAAGGUAGCCGUAGGGGAACCUGCGGCUGGAUCACCUCCUUU
rnacentral:rRNA from 1 species